GAUAUAUAGCACUUGACCUCUCGAAUUAUGCACUGGUCACACGGUCUAUUUGUUAAAUACGAAAAUUGCAGUUUUUGAGUAAGAAAGUUAAUUAUUCAUAUGUGAGUGGGAGAUGUAGUGAACUAAGCCUACACAUGAUUGGGCUAAUGAUGAAGCAAGCCCAUAUGAGCCUUAAUAUUCUGCAGCCCACGGAAAAGAGAUUUCAGAAUUCUUUUUAUGGUAGAAACGUGCAUGUAGUGGACAACUAAUUCCACCUUCUACACGAUUCAUGGGGCAGUUAUUGAAGAUAUAAACAAAAUUUUUGAAACAAAUUUGUUCUGGGAACAAAUUGAUAACUAGCAGAAGAUAAGUUUGGAUGGCUCAUAUGAUGCUACAUUGGUAAUUCUUAAGAGGAAAAAAAAUGCUACUUUGGCUGCUUUGUUAUGGUGCAUUAAGGUGCUCUUUGUUUACUCAAUCUACAUCAAGUAACUGUAAGAGUAUGUUGCGUAAUAGAGUUCCCAAGACCCAAACCUGAAGAAGAAGAAGAAAUAAUGGGAAGAAGAACAAAGGAAAUAGUAGAAGGGGGAGAGAAUAUCAAGAGAGAAGGGAAGAGGGAGAGAAAGGAAAGAGUAGAGAGAGAGAAUAAGAGACACAAGAAAGAGAGAGAGAAUAAGAGAGACGAGGAUUUGUUGUAUUGUUAUGGAAAGUCAAUCACU
rnacentral:misc_RNA from 1 species